rnacentral:lncRNA from 1 species
GCUGGAGCUCGGCAAUUGAGAGACAGCGUUGGCAGAGUAAGCAUCUUCUUGCUUGCGGUGGUCCAGAUGGGUGUCCAGAAGCCAAGAAGCAAGCAUCCCUACACAGGAGAGAGAGAAUAAUCACGCCUGGAGUCUGUUCCUUCCGGGAAGUGGGCUCCAUGAUUGAUAGAGAUAAGGGAUGGGGGGGGGGCAGAAAGUCCCAACCAGCACCCCAGAUCUCCACAGGAAGCCGUAGAACACUACAGCUACUAGUGAUGGUUUGUAUAUGCUCGGCCCAGGGAGAGGCACU